UAUCAAUAAGCGGAGGAAAAGAAACUAACAAGGAUUCCCCUAGUAGCGGCGAGCGAAGCGGGAAGAGCUCAAAUUUAUAAUCUGGCACCUUCGGUGUCCGAGUUGUAAUCUCUAGAAGUGUUUUCCGCGUUGGACCGCGCAUAAGUCUGUUGGAAUACAGCGGCACAGUGGUGAGACCCCCGUAUGUGGUGCGGACGCCCAGCGCUUUGUGAUACACUUUCGAAGAGUCGAGUUGUUUGGGAAUGCAGCUCAAAUUGGGUGGUAAAUUCCAUCUAAAGCUAAAUAUUGGCGAGAGACCGAUAGCGAACAAGUACCGUGAGGGAAAGAUGAAAAGCACUUUGGAAAGAGAGUUAACAGUACGUGAAAUUGUUGGAAGGGAAACGCUUGAAGUCAGACUUGCUUGCCGGGCAACCGGUUUGCAGGCCAGCAUCAGUUUUCCGGGGUGGAUAAUGGUAGAGAGAAGGUAGCAGUUUCGGCUGUGUUAUAGCUCUCUACUGGAUACACCUUGGGGGACUGAGGAACGCAGUGUGCCUUACGGCGGAGGUUUCGACCUCUUCACACUUAGGAUGCUGGUGGAAUGGCUUUAAACGACCCGUCUUGAAACACG
rnacentral:rRNA from 1 species